rnacentral:rRNA from 1 species
UGCAGUCGAGCGGAACGAGUUAUCUGAACCUUCGGGGAACGAUAACGGCGUCGAGCGGCGGACGGGUGAGUAAUGCCUGGGAAAUUGCCCUGAUGUGGGGGAUAACCAUUGGAAACGAUGGCUAAUACCGCAUAAUAGCUUCGGCUCAAAGAGGGGGACCUUCGGGCCUCUCGCGUCAGGAUAUGCCCAGGUGGGAUUAGCUAGUUGGUGAGGUAAGGGCUCACCAAGGCGACGAUCCCUAGCUGGUCUGAGAGGAUGAUCAGCCACACUGGAACUGAGACACGGUCCAGACUCCUACGGGAGGCAGCAGUGGGGAAUAUUGCACAAUGGGCGCAAGCCUGAUGCAGCCAUGCCGCGUGUAUGAAGAAGGCCUUCGGGUUGUAAAGUACUUUCAGCAGUGAGGAAGGCGGGUACGUUAAUAGCGUGCUCGUUUGACGUUAGCUGCAGAAGAAGCACCGGCUAACUCCGUGCCAGCAGCCGCGGUAAUACGGAGGGUGCGAGCGUUAAUCGGAAUUACUGGGCGUAAAGCGCAUGCAGGUGGUUUGUUAAGUCAGAUGUGAAAGCCCGGGGCUCAACCUCGGAAUUGCAUUUGAAACUGGCAGACUAGAGUACUGUAGAGGGGGGUAGAAUUUCAGGUGUAGCGGUGAAAUGCGUAGAGAUCUGAAGGAAUACCGGUGGCGAA